rnacentral:snRNA from 1 species
AUCUCUUUGCCUUUUGGCUUAGAUCAAGUGUAGUAUCUGUUCUUUUCAGUGUAACAACUGAAAUGACCUCAAUGAGGCUCAUUACCUUUAUUAUUUGUUACAAUACUCAUUUUUUGGAAGCACUUAAAUGGGCGGGAAGAAACUGAGAGGAUCCUUCCUAUUGUCUAUUCAAU